UACGUAGGGGCCAAGCGUUGUUCGGAUUUACUGGGCGUAAAGGGCGCGUAGGCGGCAAUUCAAGUCAGCUGUGAAAUCUCCGGGCUUAACUCGGAACGGUCAGCUGAUACUGCUUUGCUAGAGUGCAGAAGGGGCAAUCGGAAUUCUUGGUGUAGCGGUGAAAUGCGUAGAUAUCCUAAGGAACACCGGUGGCGAAGGCGGCUUACUGGGUCUUAACUGACGCUGAGGCACGAAAGCCAGGGUAGCAAACGGG
rnacentral:rRNA from 1 species